AGAUGUAAUUGAAACAAAAGACGAAUCUGACAAAAGCCCUCCCAGAAAGAAAAAGAAAAUUUGGGGCUAUAAAGAAGAUCCUUAUAUAUUUUUUAAAGAAGAAGGAAUUAUUUGGCCAAAUAUUAGGGAUUUCUAUAAAUUGGAUUCAUUUCCAUAUAAACAGCUUUUAAGUCGUUGUGCAGGAGAAAGGAAGAAAAACUUAUAUUUUGUGUCUGAAGCUGCCAAAAACAUUGUUCAAAAUAAUAUUGAUUUUGUAAAGGU